CACCAUCCAAGCCUGAGUACUACCCUGUGACCGAUAGCGCACCAGUACCGUGAGGGAAAGGUGAAAAGCACCCCGGGAGGGGAGUGAAACAGUACCUGAAACCGUGCGCCCACGAGCAGUCGGAGCAACUUUACGUUGUGACGGCGUGCCUUUUGUAGAAUGAGCCAGCGAGUCGCUGGCGCGGGGCGAGGUUAACCGAAAGGGAGCCGGAGCGAAAGCGAGCCUUAACAGGGCGACUUGAGUCCCGCGCCGCGGACGCGAAG
rnacentral:rRNA from 1 species